rnacentral:tRNA from 1 species
UCCCCUGUAGCUCAGCCGGUAGAGCAGGUGGCUGUUAACCACCGGGUCGGGGGUUCGAGUCCCUCCGGGGGAGCCA